GUGCCAGCCGCCGCGGUAAUACAGAGACUGCAAGCGUUAUUCGGAUUCACUGGGCGUAAAGGGUGCGCAGGCGGCCGUGUGUGUCAGGUGUGAAAGCCCGAGGCUCAACCUCGGAAUUGCGCCUGAAACUACACGGCUAGAGUAUUGGAGAGGGUAGCGGAAUUCACGGUGUAGCAGUGAAAUGCGUAGAUAUCGUGAGGAACACCAGAGGCGAAGGCGGCUACCUGGACAAUAACUGACGCUCAGGCACGAAAGCGUGGGGAGCAAAAGGGAUUAGAAACCCUUGUAGUCC
rnacentral:rRNA from 1 species